GAUGAAGAACGCAGCGAAAUGCGAUAAGUAAUGUGAAUUGCAGAAUUCAGUGAAUCAUCGAAUCUUUGAACGCACAUUGCGCCCGCCAGUAUUCUGGCGGGCAUGCCUGUUCGAGCGUCAUUUCAACCAUCAAGCCCCAGGCUUGUGUUGGGGACCUGCGGCUGCCGCAGGCCCUGAAAACCAGUGGCGGGCUCGCUGUCACACCGGGCGUAGUAGAUUUUAUCUCGCUCAGGGCGUGCUGCGGGUUCCGGCCGUUAAAAAGCCUUUUUUACCCAAGGUUGACCUCGGAUCAGGUAGGAAGACCCGCUGAGCUUAAGCAUAUCAAUAAGCGGAGGA
rnacentral:misc_RNA from 1 species